GCUUCAUCCUACUUUCCUGCGAAGUUUGACAUGCGCGUGAAGUAGCAGGUUUGUGGAUUCAAACCUACGCGAGGCUUUGAAUUUAGAAUCUUUGAGAUUUGAUCCCUACUUCACUGUAUAUCAGGUAAAGAUCUAAUCUUUAUUAAGCUAUUUAUAAAAAAUUUUUAGAUGCACCCUGGCUAUCUGCUGUGUUUUGAUAGAAACAAACUUUCUUUCUCUUCAAUUGGUAUCAGAAUCGGGUUUUAAUACAUGGAUGC
rnacentral:lncRNA from 1 species